ensembl:lncRNA
GUCGUGGCUGCAGGUGGAGAAGCUGCAGCAGAAGACUCAGCUGGCUCUGCAACACGUGCUGCAGAAGAACCAGAGAGAAGACCGAGCGCUGAAUAAGGAACCAGAUGUUCUCGUCUCGUGGCUACGGAUCUCGAUUGAGGACACCCCCCCACCUAAAGACUCCUUUGGGUCUCCUGUUUGUCUCCUGGUCAUCAAAUAAAUAGUACAGAAACAGAAUCGAGGAAUCUGUUUCUGUAUCUUCAGACCCUGUUGGACGAACAGCAGCAGUUUGAAUGAAUUCACUGAGAUACAGACGGCCCUCCAACAUGAGCUUUCCUGUACGACAGCAGCAUCACGUCGGUGCUUAUGGAUUUCCUGAUGUUGGGAGAGUUGGUGUAGAGCGAGAAGAGAAGGGGACCCAGGACGGAACCCUGAAGAACUCCAGCAGUAAGAGGACAAGGUUCCGACACAGAUCCUCUCCAGGUUACCUGGUAGGUGCGGCUGUCGAGGUAGGACGAGAGAAGGGAGAGAGCAGAGCCUGAGACACCAAGUUCCUGAAGGGAGGAGACAAG